rnacentral:rRNA from 1 species
UACAGAGGUCUCGAGCGUUAGGCGGAAUCACUGGGCUUAAAUCGUGUGUAGGCGGAUCGUUAAGUGCCUUGUGAAAUCCCACGGCUCAACCGUGGAACUGCUUGGCAUACUGGCGGUCUUGAGCAACCUAGGGGCGAGCGGAACAAAUGGUGGAGCGGUGAAAUGCGUAGAUAUCAUUUGGAACGCCAAUGGUGAAAACAGCUCGCUGGGGGUUUGCUGACGCUGAGACACGAAAGCCAGGGGAGCAAACGGG